rnacentral:rRNA from 1 species
GAUGGACUCGCGGCCUAUCAGCUUGAUGGUGGGGUAGUGGCCUACCAUGGCUUUGACGGGUAGCCGGCCUGAGAGGGUGACCGGCCACACUGGGACUGAGACACGGCCCAGACUCCUACGGGAGGCAGCAGUGGGGAAUAUUGCACAAUGGGCGGAAGCCUGAUGCAGCGACGCCGCGUGGGGGAUGAAGGCUUUCGGGUCGUAAACUCCUUUCAGCAGGGACGAAGCUUUUGUGACGGUACCUGCAGAAGAAGCACCGGCUAACUACGUGCCAGCAGCCGCGGUAAUACGUAGGGUGCGAGCGUUGUCCGGAAUUAUUGGGCGUAAAGAGCUUGUAGGCGGUUUGUCGCGUCUGCCGUGAAAGCCCAGGGCUUAACCCUGGGUCUGCGGUGGGUACGGGCAGACUAGAGUGUGGUAGGGGAGACUGGAAUUCCUGGUGUAGCGGUGAAAUGCGCAGAUAUCAGGAGGAACACCGAUGGCGAAGGCAGGUCUCUGGGCCACUACUGACGCUGAGAAGCGAAAGCAUGGGGAGCAAACAGGAUUAGAUACCCUGGUAGUCCAUGCCGUAAACGUUGGGAACUAGGUG